CAUUUUACUGCUUGCAGAACACGUGUUGGACUCGAUUUUGCUAGUGAUCUUGUGAUUGUUUCAUAGUCUGUUGUUCAUACUAUAAGUUGUGCUAAAAAAUAUAGAUAACUAGAGGAAAAGAUACCACUGACUUAUUUAUCUAUUGCUUCAGAUCAUGCCUUGACUUUAUUAUAAAAAGUGUGCAUUUUUGUCGUGCGAAAAUCGUAACGGGAAUCCGGAUGUGAGGUUCCACAUGUUUCCGCAUGGUGCGAUUAUGUUUCAACACUGGAUGGACGUUGUGAGUAAUCCAGCAUUGUCUGAAUUAGCUCAUACUACUGUUAGAAGGUGUUAUUCGGUAUGCAAUAACCAUGUUAUAGUAUCUCAAUUUCAAACUCCCGAAAGGAAGACGCUGCUGACAAAAGCUAUUCCCAAAAGUUUUAUAGCUCCUUCUAACAUUUGCAUGCAACCGGCUAGUGAUUCGGAGACACACCCGCACACAGGUAUAGAAACUUCUCAUGAUGAUUUUACUUCUGUCGAACGGAAACAAGAAUCAACUUUUUCGAUGCCUACGCAUAAUGUAGAUAGUGAAAUCGGUUUACAGCUGCAUGUGAGAAGCGAAUUGCUUCAUUCGAUUGGAAUAACCAUCAGGAACAAAAUGACCCCAAGGAAAAAACUUCUAUUUCACCAGCUUUGCAGCAUGAGGAGGACAUUGAAACGUUGAGCAUAAUUUGAAGAGUUGCAGGAAAGACGUAAAUUUGGGGUAAAGAAUGGACCGAAACACCUGGCAGAGAGCGCGCAUAAGCGAUCACGGCCGUUUACAUGGAGUUGUCACUUCUUGUUCAGAGGUGUUCUGUGUUAGGCGCACGGCCCCACUACUUACCUGCCCUACACUACUUCUAACUUGUGUUUGUUUCGGGAGAAAACCGCAUAAUGACGCUAGCUUGCGGCUGCAUAUCGCUGGACCGCUUCGCCUAUGCUCAUCGGCGAUCUCUCUACUAAUCUCUGCUAAUAGUGGCUCUAAUAUAACGUUAUUAUUUGAA